UGACACUGAGAAGUAUCUUUGGCCU
rnacentral:misc_RNA from 1 species